UCGUGCCAGCCACCGCGGUUAUACGAGAGGCCCAAGUUGACAGACAACGGCGUAAAGAGUGGUUAAGGAAACCCAAAAACUAAAGCCGAACGCUCUCAGAGCUGUUAUACGCAUCCGAAGGUAUGAAGCCCAACUACGAAAGUGGCUUUACAUCACCCGAACCCACGAAAGCUAAGAAACAAACUGGGAUUAGAUACCCCACUAUG
rnacentral:rRNA from 1 species